rnacentral:rRNA from 1 species
AUUGAACGCUGGCGGCAGGCCUAACACAUGCAAGUCGAACGAGUGGCGGACGGGUGAGUAAUGUCUGGGAAACUGCCUGAUGGAGGGGGAUAACUACUGGAAACGGUAGCUAAUACCGCAUACCAUCGGAUGUGCCCAGAUGGGAUUAGCUUGUUGGUGGGGUAAUGGCUCACCAAGGCGACGAUCCCUAGCUGGUCUGAGAGGAUGACCAGCCACACUGGAACUGAGACACGGUCCAGACUCCUACGGGAGGCAGCAGUGGGGAAUAUUGCACAAUGGGCGAAAGCCUGAUGCAGCCAGGCCGCGUGUGUGAAGAAGGCCUUCGGGUUGUAAAGUACUUUCAGCGGGGAGGCGUUACUCGCAGAAGAAGCACCGGCUAACUCCGUGCCAGCAGCCGCGGUAAUUC